rnacentral:misc_RNA from 1 species
AUUUACACUGUUUAGCAGCAAUAAUCUUCUGCUUAAUAUAAUUCCCACAAAUUAGCUGACAAGAAUCCAUCUUUCUUGUGUAAAAAAGAAGAAAAGAUUCUGCCUUUUCUGUAAAUUCCUCUAAAAGAAUCUCACCAAGACUAGUUGAUGAACAAUUGUUUCUUAGCUGGUACAUGGGUUUCAAGAAAAUGGCUUUAAUCACUCAUUUACCCAAACAAGAACAGACCCUUUUUAGUUUUGUAGCUGUAUCAGUGUUAUUGUUCUUAUGUU